rnacentral:rRNA from 1 species
UACGGAGGGUGCAAGCGUUAUCCGGAUUCACUGGGUUUAAAGGGUGCGCAGGCGGUUAUAUAAGACAGAUGUGAAAUCCCCGGGCUCAACCUGGGAACUGCGUUUGUGACUGUAUGACUAGAGUACGGUAGAGAGGGGUGGAAUUCCUGGUGUAGCAGUGAAAUGCGUAGAUAUCAGGAGGAACAUCGAUGGCGAAGGCAGCCCCCUGGGUCAAGAUUGACGCUCAUGCACGAAAGCGUGGGGAGCAAACAGG